GACCAUCUCCUAAGGCUAAAUACUCUCUAGUGACCGAUAGUGAACCAGUACCGUGAGGGAAAGGUGAAAAGCACCCCGGAAGGGGAGUGAAAUAGAACCUGAAACCGUGUGCUUACAAGUAGUCAGAGCCCGUUAAUGGGUGAUGGCGUGCCUUUUGUAGAAUGAACCGGCGAGUUACGAUUUGAUGCAAGGUUAAGCAGUAAAUGUGGAGCCGUAGCGAAAGCGAGUCUGAAUAGGGCGUUUAGUAUUUGGUCGUAGACCCGAAACCAGGUGAUCUACCCUUGGUCAGGUUGAAGUUCAGGUAACACUGAAUGGAGGACCGAACCGACUUACGUUGAAAAGUGAGCGGAUGAACUGAGGGUAGCGGAGAAAUUCCAAUCGAACCUGGAGAUAGCUGGUUCUCUCCGAAAUAGCUUUAGGGCUAGCCUCAAGUGAUGAUUAUUGGAGGUAGAGCACUGUUUGGACGAGGGGCCCCUCUCGGGUUACCGAAUUCAGACAAACUCC
rnacentral:rRNA from 1 species